UGAUAUUCUAUUUAAACUACUUCCUG
rnacentral:tRNA from 2 species